AUUGAACGUUGGCGGCAGGCCUAACACAUGCAAGUCGAGCGGAUGACGGGAGCUUGCUCCUUGAUUCAGCGGCGGACGGGUGAGUAAUGCCUAGGAAUCUGCCUGGUAGUGGGGGACAACGUUUCGAAAGGAACGCUAAUAACGCAUACGCCCUACGGGAGAAAGCAGGGGACCUUCGGGCCUUGCGCUAUCAGAUGAGCCUAGGUCGGAUUAGCUAGUAGGUGAGGUAAUGGCUCACCUAGGCGACGAUCCGUAACUGGUCUGAGAGGAUGAUCAGUCACACUGGAACUGAGACACGGUCCAGACUCCUACGGGAGGCAGCAGUGGGGAAUAUUGGACAAUGGGCGAAAGCCUGAUCCAGCCAUGCCGCGUGUGUGAAGAGGGUCUUCGGAUUGUAAAGCACUUUAAGUUGGGAGGAAGGGCAGUAAGCGAAUACCUUGCUGUUUUGACGUUACCGACAGAAUAAGCACCGGCUAACUCUGUGCCAGCCGCCGCCGUAACAC
rnacentral:rRNA from 1 species